ACAAGCAAGAGUGCAAAACACAAGUUAAGUUACAUUUAGGACAAACCAACCUGAAACUCAGCACGUCAAAACUCGAAAGCAUAUAAUGCAGUCUUGGUGAACGAUGCCUUCUUCAAGUUUUGUCAAGGGAAAGAACUUCAAUGUCUGAUGCUUUCUAGUUUUAAAUGAUAGGUCCUCUACAGAAAUGUGUUCUUCUUUUGAGUGAUGAAAGGUUGAUAUACAAAAGAGCAACCCAAAUCUAUAUAAAAGAAGACGUCGAGACAGACUGGGAUACGAUAACAUUGAAAGAGCACCUGAGUCACUGUAUUCCCAAUGAUUGUAUUGCUGAAAAAACGUUUGAGCCAGAAGUAAACAGAGCAAGAUGCUGCUGUGCUCCGUCAGGGAGGACUUUGAAGAGGAGAACCAAGCAGAACAGUGAGAUGAGCAGAGGGUCAAGCUGCAGUGCAAGCGCGCCUGGAUGGAGAGCGUGUUGUGGGGUAAUGGGACCAAUGGUCGGGGAAUGUCUUGAGGAUGUGGACCCAGCAGCCCUCCAGUUUCCAGAUCAAUUCUGACUGUUUUUCCCUACGCCUGGCCUGGGUUUCACACCUGCCACCUUUUGGCCACAGGUCCGUCUCCGUAGCCUUUGGGCUAACUACCGCCCCGAGUGUAUGGCUACACACUCAGUCAGUGAGGUGUCGCUGUAACAGAACAUUCAACAGUGCAUUUCAUACCCUUGUCACCCAAAUGAGUCUUGUGAGACCAUCCUUACAAUCCUCGUCUAGUUGAAGCCUGGGCUUCCGAGGCUAAAUCCAUACUUCCUGUCACCUUUAUGCUACCUGUAAGUGAAGGACGAGAAUAGAAAUGAUCUUUCGAUUUUUACAAUCACACAAGCAAAUUACAUUUACAUGUCAAAACUCAGUUAUUGGUAGGCUACAAGCAGAGUUUGCAGUAUUCUGAAACAUUCCAUAGACAAAUACAGUAAGUUCCGUUGAUUAACUCUCCCAGUAGUUGAACCUUAUCUAAUCCGCAGCCCUCCACUCCGAGCUGCCUGGUCUGACAUGCCUGCCAAUACAAAGCAUUUGAAGUCCCCACAAUGCCCAUGUCUGUGUGUUUGACAUGCAUCUCAGCACGGCGCUCCAGUCACAGCAAGACAUCAUAUCUUCCAGGAGAGUCUAUUAGCUGUGCUUAAUUAAACUAAUGUAAUUAGACAUAUCCAAACUCAGACGACUGAAUCGUUGAUAAGGAAGCGGCCAUGAGAGGAGUAGUGUUGCCACAUCCCCUGGCUAGACAUUAGUAAUGGUAGGCCUACCUAUUACACA